GAUGAACGCUAGCGGCAGGCCUAACACAUGCAAGUCGAGGGAGAAGCCCUUUCGGGGGCCGAAACCGGCGCACGGGUGCGUAACGCGUAUGCAACCUACCUUUCACAGGGGGAUAGCCCGAAGAACUUUGGAUUACUACCCCAUAAUACUAUUGGAUGGCAUCAUUUGAUAAUUAAAACUGCGGUGGUGAAAGCUGGGCAUGCGUCCGAUUAGCUAGUUGGAGUGGUAACGGCACCCCAAGGCUACGAUAGGUAGGGGUCCUGAGAGGGAGAUCCCCCACACUGGUACUGAGACAGGGACCAGACUCCUACGGGAGGCAGCAGUGAGGAAUAUUGGUCAAUGGUCGGAAGACUGAACCAGCCAUGCCGCGUGCAGGAAGAAUGCCUUAUGGGUUGUAAACUGCUUUUAUAUGGGAAGAAUAAGGUGUACGUGUACAUUGAUGACGGUACCGUAUGAAUAAGCAUCGGCUAACUCCGUG
rnacentral:rRNA from 1 species